AUUGAACGCUGGCGGCAGGCUUAACACAUGCAAGUCGAGCGAGCGGCGGACGGGUGAGUAAUGUAUGGGAACCUGCCCGAUAGAGGGGGAUAACUACUGGAAACGGUAGCUAAUACCGCAUACUAUCAGAUGUGCCCAUAUGGGAUUAGCUAGUAGGGGGGGUAAGGGCUCACCUAGGCGACGAUCCGUAGCGGGUCUGAGAGGAUGAUCAGCCACACUGGGACUGAGACACGGCCCAGACUCCUACGGGAGGCAGCAGUGGGGAAUAUUGCACAAUGGGCGCAAGCCUGAUGCAGCCAUGCCGCGUGUAUGAAGAAGGCCUUCGGGUUGUAAAGGACUUUCAGCGGGGAGGCGUUACCCGCAGAAGAAGCACCGGCUAACUCCGUGCCAGCAGCCGCGGUAAUAC
rnacentral:rRNA from 1 species